UUUGCAUGUGAUUUGCAUGUGAUUUGCAUGUAGGCCCAGAGAUUGCUGAAGGAUGCUGCUGCUAACAGGUAAGGAGAACACACAAAGGAGCAGUGACAUGGCUGGGAGUUCUGGAGUACACAGCCUUGAACCUGUAUCUCUGGGGAGAAACUGCAAUGGGAAUCACAAAAUUUCUUGGGGACCAUGAUGUAUCCACACACCUCUUCAUGAUCCUGGGACAACGGUGCCUCUGCGGAUGGAUUAAACUUGGCAGUGCUACAAAUAACACAUUCUCUACUGGAGAGUGUGUUCACAGAGAAGGAGAGUGGAUGACAAGAUCUGUAAGGAGAAGAGAGCAGCUCUGAGGCACUUUUUACAGGUCCUAAUCAAUGCACCAAAUCUGUAAUCACCAAAGAGCAGGUCUGGAUGUAUAGAUUCGUAUGACUGUCCUAAGCCAAGAUCACAUUCUCACCUACCAAGUACUCGCUGGACUAAAGGAGAUCAUAUAAAUGCUCCAUAAUUGUGCAACAUCCUUUGGCAACUGUUUCAAUUUGUCAGGUAUGUGAUACACAAUGAACCAUUUCCUUUGUUGUUUGUUCUGAAUCUGGCUCCCA
rnacentral:lncRNA from 1 species